GCCGGCGUAGCUCAGUGGUAGAGCAACUGAUUCGUAAUCAGUAGGUCGCGGGUUCGACUCCCAUCGCCGGCUCCA
rnacentral:tRNA from 1 species